AAGCUCGUAGUUGGAUUUCUGUUAAUUGUUUAUAUGAUUUAUCUUAUAAUAUUUAUAUAGCAUUAACAUAAUUCAUAUUACUAUUUUUAGUAUAUGAAAUUUUACUUUGAGAAAAUUAGAGUGCUUAAAGCAGGCUUUUGCCUUGAAUACUCCAGCAUGGAAUAAUAUUAAAGAUUUUUAUCUUUCUUAUUGGUUCUAAGAUAGAAAUAAUGAUUAAUAGGGACAGUUGGGGGCAUUUGUAUUUAACAGUCAGAGGUGAAAUUCUUAGAUUUGUUAAAGACAAACUAGUGCGAAAGCAUUUGCCAAGGAUGUUUUCAUUAAUCAAGAACGAAAGUUAGGGGAUCGAAGACGAUCAGAUACCGUCGUAGACUUAACCAUAAACUAUGCCAACUAGAGAUUGGAGGUUGUUCCUUACUCCUUCAGCACCUUA
rnacentral:rRNA from 1 species